rnacentral:rRNA from 1 species
GACGAACGCUGGCGGCGCGCUUAAUACAUGCAAGUCGAGCGAGAACCAGAGCUUCGGCUCUGGGGACAGCGGCGAACGGGUGAGUAACACGUGAGUAAUCUGCCCUCGGCACCGGGAUAGCCCGGGGAAACCCGGAUUAAUACCGGAUGGCCUCUCGAGCUUUCGGGCUCGUGAGAAAAGGUAGCUUCGGCCUCCGGCCGAGGAGGAGCUCGCGGCGGAUUAGCUUGUUGGGGGGGUAACGGCUCACCAAGGCGCCGAUCCGUAGCUGGUCGGAGAGGAAGAUCAGCCACAGGGGGACUGAGACACGGCCCAGACUCCGACGGGAGGCAGCAGUAGGGAAUCUUGCGCAAUGGGCGAAAGCCUGACGCAGCGACGCCGCGUGCGGGAAGAAGGCCUUCGGGUUGUAAACCGCUUUCAGGAGGGACGAAGCCACUCGGGUUAAUAGCCCAGAGGGUGACGGUACCUCCAGAAGAAGCCCCGGCUAACUACGUGCCAGCCGCCGCCGUAAAAC